UUAAGUGACUAAGCGUACACGGUGGAUGCCUAGGCAGUCAGAGGCGAUGAAGGGCGUGCUAAUCUGCGAAAAGCGUCGGUAAGGUGAUAUGAACCGUUAUAACCGGCGAUACCCGAAUGGGGAAACCCAGUGUGUUUCGACACACUAUCAUGUCAUGAAUACAUAGUGGCAUGAGGCGAACCGGGGGAACUGAAACAUCUAAGUACCCCGAGGAAAAGAAAUCAACCGAGAUUCCCCCAGUAGCGGCGAGCGAACGGGGAGGAGCCCAGAACCUGAAUCGGCUUGUGUGUUAGUGGAAGCGUCUGGAAAGUCGCGCAGUAAAGGGUGAUAGCCCCGUACACUAAAAUGCACAGGUCGUGAGUUCGAUGAGUAGGGCGGGACACGUGACAUCCUGUCUGAAUAUGGGGGGACCAUCCUCCAAGGCUAAAUACUCCUGACUGACCGAUAGUGAACCAGUACCGUGAGGGAAAGGCGAAAAGAACCCCGGCGAGGGGAGUGAAAUAGAACCUGAAACCGUGUACGUACAAGCAGUGGGAGCACCUUCGUGGUGUGACUGCGUACCUUUUGUAUAAUGGGUCAGCGACUUAUAUUUUGUAGCAAGGUUAACCGUAUAGGGGAGCCGUAGGGAAACCGAGUCUUAACUGGGCGAAUAGUUGCAAGGUAUAGACCCGAAACCCGGUGAUCUAGCCAUGGGCAGGUUGAAGGUUGGGUAACACUAACUGGAGGACCGAACCGACUAAUGUUGAAAAAUUAGCGGAUGACUUGUGGCUGGGGGUGAAAGGCCAAUCAAACCGGGAGAUAGCUGGUUCUCCCCGAAAGCUAUUUAGGUAGCGCCUCGUGAACUCAUCUUCGGGGGUAGAGCACUGUUUCGGCUAGGGGGCCAUCCCGGCUUACCAAACCGAUGCAAACUCCGAAUACCGAAGAAUGUUAUCACGGGAGACACACGGCGGGUGCUAACGUCCGUCGUGAAGAGGGAAACAACCCAGACCGCCAGCUAAGGUCCCAAAGUCAUGGUUAAGUGGGAAACGAUGUGGGAAGGCAUAGACAGCCAGGAUGUUGGCUUAGAAGCAGCCAUCAUUUAAAGAAAGCGUAAUAGCUCACUGGUCGAGUCGGCCUGCGCGGAAGAUGUAACGGGGCUAAACCAUGCACCGAAGCUGCGGCAGCGACGCUUAGGCGUUGUUGGGUAGGGGAGCGUUCUGUAAGCCGUUGAAGGUGGCCUGUGAGGGUUGCUGGAGGUAUCAGAAGUGCGAAUGCUGACAUAAGUAACGAUAAAGCGGGUGAAAAGCCCGCUCGCCGGAAGACCAAGGGUUCCUGUCCAACGUUAAUCGGGGCAGGGUGAGUCGACCCCUAAGGCGAGGCUGAAAAGCGUAGUCGAUGGGAAACAGGUUAAUAUUCCUGUACUUGGUGUUACUGCGAAGGGGGGACGGAGAAGGCUAGGCUAGCCGGGCGACGGUUGUCCCGGUUUAAGCGUGUAGGGGGUGUGACCUGGUAAAUCCGGUUGCAUAUCAACCCUGAGGCGUGAUGACGAUGCACUACGGUGCAGAAGUAGUUGAUGCCCUGCUUCCAGGAAAAGCCUCUAAGCUCCAGGUAACAUUGAAUCGUACCCCAAACCGACACAGGUGGUCAGGUAGAGAAUACCAAGGCGCUUGAGAGAACUCGGGUGAAGGAACUAGGCAAAAUGGUGCCGUAACUUCGGGAGAAGGCACGCUGGCAUGUAGGUGAAGUCCCUUGCGGAUGGAGCUGAAGCCAGUCGAAGAUACCAGCUGGCUGCAACUGUUUAAUAAAAACACAGCACUGUGCAAACACGAAAGUGGACGUAUACGGUGUGACGCCUGCCCGGUGCUGGAAGGUUAAUUGAUGGGGUCAGCCGCAAGGCGAAGCUCUUGAUCGAAGCCCCAGUAAACGGCGGCCGUAACUAUAACGGUCCUAAGGUAGCGAAAUUCCUUGUCGGGUAAGUUCCGACCUGCACGAAUGGCGUAAUGAUGGCCAGGCUGUCUCCACCCGAGACUCAGUGAAAUUGAACUCGCUGUGAAGAUGCAGUGUACCCGCGGCAAGACGGAAAGACCCCGUGAACCUUUACUAUAGCUUGACACUGAACAUUGAGCCUUGAUGUGUAGGAUAGGUGGGAGGCUUUGAAGCGUGGACGCCAGUCUGCGUGGAGCCAUCCUUGAAAUACCACCCUUUAAUGUUUGAUGUUCUAACUCGGCCCCAUAAUCUGGGGUGAGGACAGUGUCUGGUGGGUAGUUUGACUGGGGCGGUCUCCUCCCAAAGAGUAACGGAGGAGCACGAAGGUUAGCUAAUCACGGUCGGACAUCGUGAGGUUAGUGCAAAGGCAUAAGCUAGCUUGACUGCGAGAGUGACGGCUCGAGCAGGUACGAAAGUAGGUCUUAGUGAUCCGGUGGUUCUGAAUGGAAGGGCCAUCGCUCAACGGAUAAAAGGUACUCCGGGGAUAACAGGCUGAUACCGCCCAAGAGUUCAUAUCGACGGCGGUGUUUGGCACCUCGAUGUCGGCUCAUCACAUCCUGGGGCUGAAGUAGGUCCCAAGGGUAUGGCUGUUCGCCAUUUAAAGUGGUACGCGAGCUGGGUUUAGAACGUCGUGAGACAGUUCGGUCCCUAUCUGCCGUGGGCGUUGGAAGAUUGAGAGGGGUUGCUCCUAGUACGAGAGGACCGGAGUGAACGCACCACUGGUGUUCGGGUUGUCAUGCCAAUGGCAUUGCCCGGUAGCUAAGUGCGGAAAAGAUAAGCGCUGAAAGCAUCUAAGCGCGAAACUUGCCUCAAGAUGAGUCUUCCCUGGACCUUUAAGGUCCCUGAAGGAACGUUUAAGACUAAGACGUUGAUAGGCUGGGUGUGUAAGUGCAGCGAUGCAUUGAGCUAACCAGUACUAAUGAUCCGUGAGGCUUAACCUU
rnacentral:rRNA from 1 species